UACGUAGGCAGCAAGCGUUGUUCGGAGUUACUGGGCGUAAAGGGUGUGUAGGCGGUUGGAUAAGUGUGGCGUGAAAUCUCCCGGCUUAACUGGGAGGGUGCGCUACAAACUGUCUGACUAGAGUGUGGGAUGGGUAAGUGGAAUUCCUGGUGUAGCGGUGAAAUGCGUAGAUAUCUGGAGGAAUACCGGUGGCGAAGGCGGCAUCCUGGACCGGCAUUGACGCUGAUGAGCGAAAGCUAGGGGAGCAAACGGG
rnacentral:rRNA from 1 species